rnacentral:lncRNA from 1 species
GGCACAAUAGUAUAAUUGACAUAAGAAUGCGGAAACAACAUAUAGUCCACGCUGAAAUCAAUGAAGUAAGAAAAUGGAAACUUAAUUCAUUCGCAAACAUAACAUUAUUUGUUAUACAAAAAUGAAAAUAACAGAUAUUAACUAUCAAAACAAACAUAACCAAUUCAUAUAGUCAUGCAGAUCGAAAUUAUCAAUCAGACGAUAUAUUUAUCAAUCUUGCAAAGAAACAAAAACAAAGAUUUUACAAUUAAGAGAGAUGAAGAUCGGACCGUAAUGCUUUCAUUCCCCAGAAGAAGAGAUGAGAUGGGAUUCAGAUUCAGACAAUAAUACCUAUCGAUGUAACCUUUUCUUUUCCCCAAAAGAAGUACACAUCAAAUUCCCACCAUCAUGGAUCCAUCAUCCUUUUAGGAGAUGCUUGUUUUGUUUUUUUCCUCUUACUCUCUUGAACAAGAACAACAAGGCCAAGAUCUCCAUCGUGUGUUUCGUAUGUCUGAAAAUCCCUCUGAACUUUUUAUUAUAGUUUUGAUGAGACUUGUUUGGUGGAAGUUUGGUGGUUCUGAUGAUGAUGAGAGAGAGCGAAGAAAUUAUGGCUUAUAAAAAAGAAGAAGAGACAUGAUGAUUACUGAUUGGUACAAACAUUGAAAAUAGUUAUAAAAAGAGAAGUAAAUUGUCAAAACAAUCACAACUAUUUACUCUACCUACGUAUGGGUUAUAUAACAUAAAUAUACGAAUUUGUUAUACAUAUGGGGUAUGAACUUAUGACUGCGUAUAAUGAGAUUUGAGGACCGUGUUCAAAACUUUCCUUUUAACAAUCGUUGCAUAUAAAAAAUACAUAACAUGUGAUCUACAGUGCAUAUCUUGCUUUUGGGCUCUUGAGUUGAUAGCGUAUUACAUUGAGGAUGUGAGUUAAUGAAGCCCUAAACAUAUAGUGUUGUUUGACCUUUUUAGUGUUGCUUUAUAUAAUAGGUCAUCGUUUGCUAAGUUUAUAUCCAUGCAUAUGUACCUUCUUGAGGUAGGAUUUUUAUGCCCCUCAAAAUAUGGAAAUUGUACAAUACAUAUACUCCAAAAAAAUCACUCGUGGGUAUUCUUUGGAUUGGGAUAUUCUUGGUUUUCACUUUUCAUAUAUCAUCUGAAAAAGUUUAGUUUGGACAAAAUGGCUGUACCGGGAAAAAACAAAAUAGACCGUUAGGUGCCUUGUCUCUCAAAUCAAUAUCAAUAAUAUGCUCUAAUAUAUUGUACCUUGUAACAUGUAAAUGGGUCCAUAAAAAUCAGAUAAUAAGUGGGGGUUUUCAUUUAUUUUUUAAAUGCGUAGUUAGAUAUGUUCUAAUUGAUUUUUCUUAUCAUUGUGAUAUAUAAGUAAGAGAUCAUUAUUUCUAAUGGAUAUAUGAUAUCUUGGAUUGGGUAUUGUGACUAAACUUCGUCUUCUAUAACUUUUUGACUUCAAUCAAUAAUCAAUUUGUAGCUGAUGGAAACUUCUCAUUCUACCAAAACAAAAGCCCUACUAUUUGGUGGGUUGCAAGUGAUCACUAAGCCAUCUUCCUAAAAUAUUUUUGUAUGUUUAAAUAGUUGAGUUACCAGUAAUUAGAAAACUUUGCAAAAACCAAAAAAGAAAAAGAGUGAUUAGCCAAAUGCACUUUCAAAUAGAAAAUCAACAAAAUACGCAAAUAUAGAGGUUUACCAUAUAUGUAAAAAAACAUCUGAAAAAAGUUCGUCACAAUAAAGAGAAAAUUUUGGACAAUAGAGAUAUUGACGGAGUACAUGUAUGUGAUAUUGUUGCAAAAGGAUAGCCUCAAACUCAUAUUCAUAGGAAAAGACCACAAACUUUAUUUGUUAUGAAUCCAUUUAGUUACAACGUCAUGUUAAGUAGAUUCUUAAAAAACUAUAGAAGUAAUUAUUAUCCUAAAUAGUAUCAACAUAAGACAACAUAUUCGAUUGAGAUAAUAGUUGGGGCAGUCCGUAGUCGUCAGAGAAAGAUUAACAUCACAUACUUUUUUGGCUUAUCGUUCACUUUUCAUUUUAAGUGGUAGUUGGGUUUUACACUUUAUAUAUUGAACCUAGAUAACAACUGUUGUGAAUUCUCUGUUUUUGAUUCGACCCUCUUUUGAACCAUGGUUAUAUAAUUGUUCUCGACAGACCUCAAGAUUUUUUUGUUUUAAACUGAUUACAAAAAUCUUAUAUACACAUGCACAUAGUAAAGUCUAAACCAAAGCAAUAUAAUAGAUAUAAAUGUUCAGUCAGAGUUUCUAUUAUCAAUCUUGCAAAGAAAUGAAAAUAUCUUUCGAUAGAUGAAGAUUAAGAUUCAGACAAUAACAUGCAACCUUUUUCUUUCCCCCCAAAAACACAUCGAUCACCCACCAUCAAUCCAUCAUGGAUCGAUCAUCCAUUUAGGGACCUAUUUACGUUUGAUUUUUUUUUUCCUAUAACUUUCUUUAAUAAGGACAACAAGGCCAAGAUCUUCAUCGUGUGUUUCGUGUGUCUCAAAAUCCCUCUAAACUUUUUAUUGUAGUUUGGUGAGACUUGUUUGGUGGUGCUGAUGAUGAUGAGAGAGAGAGAGAGAGAGAGCGCGCGAGGAAAUCAUGGCUGGUAAACAGAAGAAGAGACAUGAUGAUUACUGAUUGAAAUAUUAUAUAUGUACACCAUUGAAAUAAGUUAUAAAAGUGUCGUAAAUCGUCAAAAGAAUCAGUAGUAUAUAUCUACUCUAUAUGAUCUAUAUACACCAUUCAUAUAUAAAAGAAUCACAAGUAUGUUAUUGAGGAUGUGUGUCAAUGAAGCCCUACGAGAAAGGUCUGUGCACUACCAAAAAAGAGACACAUAGUUUGUUUGAGUUUUUUUAUUGGGUUCAUUUGUUAAAUUUAUAUCCAUAAAUACCUCCUUGAGGUAUAGCCGUACAGGGUUUUUUUGCAGUUCAAGAUAUGGCAUUUGUAUGAAACUUAUAUACCCGCCAAAAAAAACAUACCUAGGUCACCCGUGGGUAUUUUUUGAUUGGGACAAACUGGCUGUAGGGAAAGAAAAAACAGACAACGUUAGGUGCCUUGUCUCUCAAAUCACUUAUCAGGACUCAGGAGCAAUAAUUUGUUCGAACCAAUUGUACGUUGUAACAUCUAAAUGGGUCCAUAACAAUCAGAUAAUAAAAUUUUAUCAUCUUUCUUAAUUUAUUUAUUUCCAAAUAACUUUCUUUAUCAUGUUUCUUAAUUACGUUGAUGCAUGUUUAGAUAGCCGAAACAAAUCACUAUUACUUUGAUUCUUAUUAUUUAUUUAUCAAUUUCUGGAUUCAUGACAUUUGAAAAACUAAAUGAUGUAUUACUGUGCAUUUGCAAUUCAAUCGAUCUUAAAGUCUUAAAAUCAACUAGACGAUAAAACGGUCUAUUUCCCUAUAGAACUAGAUAUAUAUACUAUGCAUUGUGAUAUAGAAUUAAGAGAUUACUGUUUCUUUGGAUGUAUGAUCUUUUAUCAGAAUAAACUUCUUAUUUUGUCUUCAGAAAUAAUCUUGACUUCGAUCAAUCAUUAUUUCGUAAGCGAUAAAAACUUCUGAUUAUCUACCAAAAAAUGAUUUCAAUAUAUUGUGACAUUGUUGCAAUACGAUAACCACAAACUCAUAUUCAUAGGGAAAUGUUUUAACAAACUUUGUUACAAAUUCAUCUACUUACAACGUGAUGCUCAAUCAUUGAUAUACAUUAUAAAAAGAAUUAUUAUCUUAAAAUAGUAUCAACAUAAGACAACAUGCUCGAUCGAGAUAAUACAUGUGCCAGCGCAGUCCAUAGUCGUCAGAAAAAGAUCAACAUCAAAUACUUUUUAGGCUUAUCGCGCACUUUUCACUUUAAGAGGUUAUUGUGAUUACACUUUACGUAUUGAACCUAAAUAUCAAUUUCACAGUUGGAAGUUUACAAAAAUAAUGCCAGUGUCGAUCCUAGGAUGAUGCGAAACCAAAAGAUGAUGUUACAUAUAUAUACACAUGCACAUUUAGUAUUCUGGUUAUCAAGAUAAGGAUGAAAAGACUAAUUAAACCAAAGCAGUGUCUAUGACAUUGCAAGCAUUCUCCAACCCAUAAGACAAAAUUGAUUCUACAAACUUUCAUAUCAUCAGAAUCUAUGAAAUGAAUCAACAACUAUCACAUCUCAGCAGCAAAGUUAAAGGACUUUCCACAUGAUCUAUAUUUAUAAGGGUAUCGUUAAGAUCUUCUCACAUGUGUGGCACGUGACAUAUUUAAUAUUCUUGAUGGGCUUUUCUGUUUUUUAUGGGCCUUUUCGAAUUUCAGGGUUUUAAAUAAGUUAGAAAUUAGAUAAAUAAAAAACAAAUUAGCAAAAAAUAACGAAGUGUCUCGUCUCUUCUCUCUUGUCUUCUCCAGAUCAGUGUUUGUGGGGUUUUCCCAAUGGAGCUUCUUCUCUCAUUGUCUCUCCUCCUGGGGUUUUGGUGUAACAACAAUCCUCAAUUCACGAGGCAUGAAUCAUUAUUCUCCCCAUUUGCUUAUUCUCUGGCUAGAAUCCCCAGAUUUUACUGUAUCGACUUUGGGAAUUUAACUGGAGAACCAUUUCCACUCAAACUGGGAAACAAAAACCUGUUAUUGAACAAUGGCCACUCAUUCAUCGAGAUCGGAGAAUAAAGACGCCGGAGAAGAAGAUGAGCUCCGACGAAGGAACCCUUAUGAAGUCCUUGGCAUCCCCAGCAAUUCGACUGAUCAAGAGAUCAAAAGUGCUUAUCGGAGAAUGGCUCUCAGGUUUUUCAAAAAGAUUGAAACUUUGCGUUGAUUAAGAUGCAAUUUAGGUUUAGAAUUGAUUUAAGAGGUUUAGAAUUUGUGCGAGUGUUGUAUCUGUGUUAAAGUUGAUUACUUGGUGGUUACAUGUACUGAAGUUUGGUUCUUCAGGUACCAUCCUGAUAAGAAUCCAGACGACCCGGUUGCAGCAGAGAUGUUUAAGGAAGUUACAUUUGCUUAUGAGGUCUUGUCUGAUCCUGAGAAUCGGCGUCUAUAUGAUACUACUGGCUCUGAGGUGAGAAUUUCAGACAAUUCCUGAGUUUUAACAUCGCUGGUUGGUUUGCAAAGUUAGCAUUGAAGAGAAUAUUAUAUAAUGGGAAAGUUUGGAAUUGAAUAGUUUAGCAUUAGAGUAGCGGCCAUGCUAAAUUACCUAAGGCUAUAGUUUCUAGUUCUUCUUUAGAUGACCCUUUGUUCAUAAUCAUUUGCGAUUUGAUAUCUAAGUUUUAUUGAUUCACAUGGGAUGUAGGCUGUGGGUCCGGAAAAUGAAGACCUAGAGCUCGAUCUGUCAAGCUUAGGAGCUGUUAAUACUAUAUUUGCUGCAUUGUUCAAGUGAGUUUCGUAGACUUGCUCUAUUCUCUGUUUUUUCAUUCUUCUUGGUUCUGAAAGAGAAUGUUAUCAAUUGUUUUACUUUUGUUUGUGAGAUAACUUCGAAACUUGACUAUUUUUGUCCUCCACAGUAAGCUUGGUGUGCAAAUUAAGACAACUGUUUCUGCAAAUUUAUUGGGGGAGGCGUUGAAUGGUACGGUUACUACUUUGCCUCUCAUGGUUGGGCAAGUCGUGUCCAGGAAGGUAUGAUAAUGAGAGUCUUAAUGUGGAUUUGUCAUCUGUAACAUAUUUUCUUCUUUGCAUUAAUGUGGAUUUGUCAUCUGUAACAUAUUUUCUUCUCUAACAGGUUGAAAAGCAAUCGGCUCACUUUUAUUCGGUUACGUUAACAGAGGAAGAAGCUCAGGAUGGAUUGAUAUGUAAGGUGCAUUCAUCUGCUAAAAACAAAUUCAAGGUUCAUUUUCCCAAACUCUUACCUUGCGUGCUCAAGAAUCUCGUAGCUGUUUUUCCUGUUCUGUAUUUUACCUCUGAUUCCUUUUGCUUUCCAGUUGCUUUACUUUGACCAAGUAGAGAAUGGAGGACUGAGCUUGGCCCUACAGGUAUGAAGUUUUAUACUAUUAGUUUGUUGAGUAACUAACUUCUUGUCACAUCUCCGGAUUACAUCAUAGAGUGGUUUGAUCAGAUUUGUUUUAUACUUUGCUAUUCUCAUUAACCUGUAACGUGGCAUCCGGUCGAAUCAUCAUGGCUUUGAAGCUUCUUUCGGUUUCUAAAUAGUAUUUUAUUUUCCUCCAUUCUGCAAAAGGAAGACAGCAGGAAAACAGGAAAGCUCUCGACUGCAGGGUUGUAUUUUUUCGGCUUCCCUGUUUAUCGUUUCGAUCACAGGGUUAAUUCAGUUAAUUAUUUUCUCUACCCUCUUAAGCUAAACACGUUUAUUUUCUUCUUCUGAUUACCAUGUACUCAGUUUUCACUCUUCUGCACGCAGAGGGCUCUCUCAAGGGAUCCAGAGACCGGAUUUUUCAAAAGGCUUGAUGCAUUCCAACCGUUUGAGAUCACUGAACUUAAAGCUGGUUCUCAUGUCUUUGCUGUUUAUGGUAAUGUUUGUUUUAUUUGCUUACAGGAUUCAAGGAAUUUGUAGUCUACUCUAUUAGAAGUAAAGUAACCUCACUUGGUGUCAUAUUUCUCUAGGUGACAAUUUUUUCAAAAGUGUGAGCUACACUCUAGAAAUAUUCUCAUCUGCUCCAUUCGGUAACGAGAAAGAGAGUCUUCGGUCCACUGAAGCGCAGAUAGUCUCAAAAAGAACAGAGCUAUUGAAGUUUGAAGCUGAAUAUCACGAGGUCUUUGCACAAUUCACAGAAAUGGCUAGCAAAUGCACAGGGGAAGUACAAGAGGUGAGAGACAGCUUACAAUAUCACCCCGUUUUCUCCUGUUUUCUUGAUUACAUAAUAAACAAGUAACUUAGAUUUGUUUUGUUUGCAGAUUGAUGAGCUUCUAAAGAGGAGGAAUGAGAUAUGUGCGGCUUACACAAUCUUCCCACCAACGAAGCAAGGUUCAAGCAAGAGCAGAAGCUGGAGCAAGAAGAAGAGCAGUCUUUUAAUGGAACCUAGAGAAGAAGGAGAAGUCGCAGUUAGGGAAGAAGGUGGAGUCAAGAAGAAGAAAUGGUACAAUAUUCAGCUGAGGCAAGACAAGAAAAAAAACUGAAGAGACUACUGCAAUCUUGAGUUUUCUUCAGGCACAUAGCUAUGUUCGAGAAACGAUAUAUAUAUGUUUCAGUGAUAAUCUUUAGGGAUUAUCAACAUCUUAUAAAAAGUGGUCUAUGGUUUAUCUCUUUGCACACUUUGCCUGAUUCAUCUCUUCGUAUACUUCUACGGAUUCAGAUUUACAUUCUCUGUUCGCAGUACUGUCAACUUCGUCUUCUUCAGAAGCUUUGCUGAAUUCAUAUGUGUCCUGCUGAUUACGCCGCCAUCUUCUUCCUCACCGGAUCCUGGUUUUAACGUAACAUUUUGCUCCAAAAAAAGAAAAGUAAAACCCUAUAAAAAAAAGGAAAACCAAAAAGUGGAGUCUCUAUGCAAUAGAUAUAAUUGCUUUGGUAACAUUUUAGAGAAGAAAUGGGUGGAUCUUGGUUCAAGAACUAAUUCCAAGUCUAAUUUUGUAAUCUCAAAAUCACUGCAAAUGUCACAAACAAACCAAAGCACCAUUUCGACAAACAUCAGAAACCCACAAUCCAUAAGACGUUUUCCAAGUUGUUAGGUUACUUACUUGUUUGGAAUUAAAUAAACUUUAUCCCUUUGGUUUUGUUGGUUUAGUUAAGGUUGGUAAUCACUUGAUAUUCAUAUACUCAAGACUUGGAGCGUCGACUUCAACAACAAGAUCCUCAAACUCGAGAUGCUAAGACUGAAACUAGUGUGAAGCUUUCCAAUGGUUGUGAACGAAAUCACAAAACUUUGAUAUAAUUGUCGGAUAAGUGAUCACGGUUAAAUCCUCAAGAAUAGGACAACUUAAUUAGAGAGUCUCCAAAAUGGAAUCGUCAUCAAACUUGACCUUCUCUAAAUACAUAGCAUUGACACAAGGUAUAGAAACCGAUUUUGAAUUUGGAUUAUCAAAUACAACACAUUAGAGAGUCAAAUUCACCAAAUUCGAACAUGUAUAGAGCGAGAAAGGCAUCAUAACUAAGGUUCCAAAGACUCUAAAAAACGUUAGAGAGUUAAGAUGCCUAUCUUGUUCUAUUUUUGUGCGACUUUGGUGGAUUUAAAUCUCCAUUGUGUUGUCUUUUAUCAUCCGAAAUCAAAAUUGGUUUCUUUACCUUUUGUAUAUAUUUAAAGGGGGUUAAGUUUGUUGGCGACUCAGGUUUGAAGACUCUCAUAUCAAGCUGUAUGGUUCUUGAGGAUUUAAUUAUGAUUACGCAUCUGAAUGAUUAUCUCAAAGUCAUACAUGUUCAUUCUCAAUCACUGAAAAGCAUCAUACUAGAGUCUCAGCAUAUAUUGAAUAUGAUGAUCUUGUGGUUAAAAUUGAUGCUCCGAGUCUUGAAUAUAUGAGUAUUCAUGAUUACCAAUCUAAAAGCUUUCUAAGCCCAUUCCAACUCUCCUUCAAUAUGAUACUUUCUGCUUUGGGCCUACAUGCUCAACCCGUAUGGAUUUGUUAUUGGCUUCUUCCAAAAUGCCUCAUUCUAGUUGGAAUUGGACUUGACUUAUAUAUUAGACACUUAUUUUCUAAACUUUCGAUAUGGGAUGUUUGUUUGUACCCAAUAAUCUCCCCUUCAAACCAAGAACCACGGACAUUGGACCUCUUUUUAAGCGAAACUUUGGUACCCUUAACUCGGCACCUUCUUAUUUUCGAAGUUCUUGAAUCACUUUCUUAUCAUGUCACAUUUAAUGGCUUCUUCCACACCGAACUUUUAGCCCACACCCCUAAAUCCAUUUUUUCAACCUAGGCUGUGAUACUAUUUAGUGGGUUUUCUAAGUCAUUCCAACUCUCAAUUAGUAUAAUAUUGUCCGUUUUGACCCUACAUGCCAAAGCCCGCAAGGAUUUGUUAUUGGGUUCCUUCCCAAAAAGCUUCAUACUAAUUGGAGUUUGACUAGACUUAUAUAUUAGACCCUUCUUUUCUAAACUUCUAAUGUGGGACGUUGGUUUAUACAACAACAACAUAGUAGUGGUUCCUCUAUAGAGGUAAACGUUGAUGUUGUGUUUGGUAUCGAGUAUUAUGAUCCAUUGGAAAUAACUAAACUCCAUAAUAUUCUCACUAGGACCAUAUUUGAAAAAGUGACCAUAUCUGUUAGAACUAUAGAGGUACAUUUACUUUCUUUAGUUCUAUUCACAGAUUAUCCAUUCCAUGGUGGAACCGUCGCCUCCAUUUUCUAACUUGUCUCGCUUGGAUGCCUCAUUAGUAAAAUCUUCUUGGAAAGUUUGAUGCAUGAAUCUACAUUCACUCACAAUAGUGCAUUUAUCGGUUUGCUAGGGUGGGUAUCUGGCUAACAAGUGGCGGAGAGUCCGAGAGUUGAACUAUUAUGGAAAGCUAGUUGUGGGUCCGGCUUACCACUUGUAACAUAUUUGAGAAGGGAUUCAAAUACUCUCACAUCUUUAGCACAAAUUCCAAAACAACAUCUCCAAACCAGCUUUCAUUAAUAUCUAUAAAUGGUCUAACUUGAAAACAAUUGUACACAACUUUAUCAAAAGUUUGACUACUAAAGUAAAUUUUCCUUCCGUAGUUGUUUUACCAUUUAAUGGGAUGAUUGGUAAACACUUUGGAGGCUUCAAAUUUUUUUACAAGUCUUUACAGUUUAUGGGACUGAUUGGAAAUCCUUGUUAGUUAAGGCCGUAGAAACGUUUUGACUGUAAGAAUUUUUGUUGUAGAAACUGUUGUUCUAUGGACUAUAACUAUAUAAAUUUUAUAAUUGAUUGGUAAAGACUUUUUUAAAAGCUUGAUUGGAAAAAAAACUGUGGAAACUUUUGAAAAGCUUCUCAAUCACACUUUGUCGGUUUUAACAAAUUUAAAAGCCUCUAGAGCCAUAUUUAUUUUUAGUUUUUACUCUUUACUACCAAUUUUAUUUUUAAAGCCACGUAAACAUGAGUUUAAAAAUAAAAACAAGAAAAGCUUAUAAUUUUCUCUUUUCUUCUUCGCCAUAUGUAUAAAACCUCUCAUCACAUUCACUUAUAAAUUAGCUUUUUAAAAGAAAAAUAGUUGAUUAACAAUUGAAUUGUUUAUCUUCUUUUUUUAAGAUCCAUUAUCCAUAUUUUUGGUAAUUAUUUAAAAUCGUUAUUUCUAUAUUCACAUGUUUUCCUAAAGUCAAAGUUCUUACAACAAAAGUCUUUGCAGGCCAAAAUCUAUAUAACCGAAAGUAACAGCGGUUACCAAUUAGUCCUUAAAAGUAAUUUUUUACGAUACAUUCCUCAUCCUAUAAAGAAUACUAUACGAAAAAGGUUUACGUUCAAGUUUUCUACUAAUGACCAUUAAAAGAACAAAAAAGAAAUGAAGCACAUGAACAAUGAGGAAUGUAACAUAAUUUUUUGUGGAAUGGAAAGGAAAAUUUACUCGAAAAGAAUAAAAAUAUACUUAUGAUGAAUGGUAACCAAACAAAAACAAUAUUUUAAGAAUAUUUCUUUUAUAUUUAAUAAUUUAAUACAAUUAUUUUAAUCAAAUGUAAAAUUAUUCCACAAAAAAAAAUCAAAUGUAAAAUUAACUAAAUACAAAGUAUUUUCACUAAUAUUAUUUCGUAAUUAUUUCAUAUAUUUUUAAAAAAUAAUGUUAUUUUUCCAUUCCUUAUAAUUGUAUAUCUUAUUUUUUUCUCUGAAUUUUUAUUAUUUUUAUGUUUCAUUCUUUUUUUUUACAGCUUUAUGUUUCAUUCUUCAUUAUUCAUUUUGUAUAAUUGUUUUUGUUUAUUUAAUGGUCACGAGUAGAAGAAUGAUAUUCUUUGUGUCUUUUUUUCACAAAGAAUGAUAUUCUAAACUCCAAAAUAUUAAUUGUAAAAAUUAUUGAUUGUAAUUGGUGAGCAGAUAGGGAAUGUAUUUUGUGUGAAAAUAUAAAAAUGCAUAAUUAAUUAUUAUUUAUUUUUUAAUUUUUAAAAAAUAAAAAUAAAAAGUCAUUGUAUAAGGAAUAAAGGUAAUGAUAUCUUAAACCAAUAUCAAUAAUUAAUAAGAUUAUUUCAAAUAUUACUAUGGAAAUUUAUUUUCAUAAAGUCUUUUCGAAGACAUUCGAGAACAAAAUCAUUUUUGAUGAAUAAUUGAUACCAGAAUUAUUAUACUUACUUUACAUAAAAUCUUAAGUUAUAUAUGAAAAUUGAAACAUAUCCAGAAACAAAUAAUCAAACAUUAAAAUCAAGAAAUACAUGUAUGAAUGGAGUUUGAAGGUACUUGUGUUUUCUUUAACCAUGAGAUCUAAAUCUGGGACCUAAUCCUAUUUCUCGGAGAACAACAAAUUUGGAUCCCGGAUAAUUUGACCAUAUUAAUCGGGUUCUUUAUAGCUAUUUAUAAAUUUCAAGGAUCUGACUAAAAACACACAACAAAAUAAAAAAUUAAUAGAACAUGAGAUAAAAGUCAAUUGGAGAAUAUCCAAUAAAACAUCAAGUAGACAAAAUUUUGUGAACAUCAUAUGUAAAAUAUUGAAAUUAAUUGAAACGAAUAGAAACUGUAAAUGUUCUUAUUAUAUUGGCACAUACCUUUCGAUGAAUGGUAAAAAAAAUUCGAGGGGAAGAGAUACUAGGCUUUCCACUGGCCGAUCAUUGAGCUUCGCUCCAAAAGAGAGGCAUUUUAUUUGAUAAGAUCUUGGUCUCAUAGAUUCUCAUCUAAUGUAAUCAAAGAUUUUAUAUUUUGUUUUCUAAGAGAUCGGCGGCACAAGUACUAGAAAACAGUUUUGAGAGUUUGUAAACCUAUAUACUACUGAAAUUAACCUAAAAAUGGAUUAAGACACAUUUAAAACGACAAUGUAUAAAAUGCUCUGGUCCUGGCUUGGAGGAGUGUUCAGGUCUAGGCCCAG